rnacentral:rRNA from 1 species
CAAUAGCGUAUAUUAAAGUUGUUGCAGUUAGAACGCUCGUAGUCGGAUUUCGGGGCGGGCCGACCGGUCUGCCGAUGGGUAUGCACUGGUCGGCGCGUCCUUCCUUCCGGAGACCGUCCCUACUCUUAACUGAGCGGGGGCGGGAGACGGGACUUUUACUUUGAAAAAAUCAGAGUGUUUCAAGCAGGCAGCUCGCUCUUGCAUGGAUUAGCAUGGGAUAAUGAAAUAGGACUUUGGUGCUAUUUUGUUGGUUUCGAACACCGAAGUAAUGAUGAGAAGGGACAGUCAGGGGCACUCGUAUUCCGCCGAGAGAGGUGAAAUUCUCAGACCCGCGGAAGACGAACCACUGCGAAAGCAUUUGCCAGGGAUGUUUNCACUG